AUUAUUGUGGAGAGUUUGACAAUGCUGGCGCUAUGAUGAGCGUAGAUGAGACAUUAAUGUGCUCCUUUCAAAUAUUAAAACCUGCCGACAAGAAGUCCAAAUUCAGCUUUGGAAGUACAACUACUGCUAAACCCGGAUCUCCUACUGGAAUGAAGUCCUUUUUUAAUUCCAAAGCAUGAGAAGCAGCUUCACGAAGCAGGGAUUAAGCAAAGAACUGUUGAAGCUCUUGAAAUUACCGUUUACUGCAGUCGUUUCUUAAUGUCGAAAGUAUGAGAGCCAAGCCAACUACAGAAGUUGCCAUAGAAGUCUUUACUUAUAUAGUGAAUAGAUGAAUUACCAAAACUUGAUGAUCAUUUUAACCAUGGUGGAUGUGUAAAAAAGUAUGAGAAAAUGGUGCAAAACCAUACUUGGUCUUCAUUUUUUAGCUCAAAUUGUAAGCUAUAAAGCAUCUCUUUAUUUUGUUCAACUAAG
rnacentral:misc_RNA from 1 species